UACAGAGGUCUCAAGCGUUGUUCGGAAUCACUGGGCGUAAAGAGCUCGUAGGCGGCCUGUUGCGUCCGCUGUGAAAGCCCGGGGCUUAACCCCGGGUCGCAGUGGAUACGGGCAGGCUAGAGGUAGGUAGGGGAGAAUGGAAUUCCCGGUGUAGCGGUGAAAUGCGCAGAUAUCAGGAGGAACACCGGUGGCGAAGGCGGGUCUCUGGGCCGAUACUGACGCUGAGGAGCGAAAGCGUGGGGAGCGAACAGG
rnacentral:rRNA from 1 species